rnacentral:lncRNA from 1 species
AUGCACAAACAUUAGAUGCACAAACAUGCAGAUACACAAACAUGCACACAGACGCACAAACAUGCAGAGAGACACAAACAUGCACAGGCGCACAAACAUGGACACAGAUGCACAAACAUGCACACAGAUGCACAAACAUGCACACAGACAUACGCCUGCGCAUGGGCACAUGCACACACAUGCACAGACACGUGCACAUGUGCAGCUGUGUGCAUGCAUCUGUGCACAUGAACAGACACACAGAACAGAGCGAGGUACACGUGGGCCUGCAAGGAUGCUGACCUGUGCACAUACGAGCACAGACGUGCAGAUCUGUAAACAAGCAAGGCCACUGCC